rnacentral:ribozyme from 1 species
UUCCUUCUCUGCUCGCAUCUCCAUUUCAGAUCCAGCCUACCAUCAUACCUACCUAUUACUCGUCACCGU